AUGUGCUGAUAGACCAUAUAUCAGAGAAGCUCGGUCUCUUUCCACAUCUUCUCUCAAUGCAUCGCACAGCUUCGGCAAACAUCUCUGCAUCGAUUCGUGAAGGAGGUGGGUAACCGGAUUAUCAGGAAGAGGAUCCAUGGGCAUGUAGAGCACGGACAGCCAUCAAGAUGCACUGAGGAGUUCCAUUUGAGGAAGGAGAAGAACGAUCAGCUGAAGGCAGAGGCCAAGGCUAAGGGUGAGGUCAUCAACACCAAGAGACAGCCAAAGGGUCCCAAUCCUGGUUUCAUGGUUGAAGGUGCAGUUAUGGAAACU